UUGAACGCUGGCGGCAUGCCUUACACAUGCAAGUCGAACGGCAGCGCGGACUUCGGUCUGGCGGCGAGUGGCGAACGGGUGAGUAAUACAUCGGAACGUACCCUGUUGUGGGGGAUAACUAGUCGAAAGAUUAGCUAAUACCGCAUACGACCUGAGGGUGAAAGUGGGGGACCGCAAGGCCUCACGCAGCAGGAGCGGCCGAUGUCUGAUUAGCUAGUUGGUGGGGUAAAGGCCCACCAAGGCGACGAUCAGUAGCUAGUCUGAGAGGACGAUCAGCCACACUGGGACUGAGACACGGCCCAGACUCCUACGGGAGGCAGCAGUGGGGAAUUUUGGACAAAGGGGGCAACCCUGAUCCAGCAAUGCCGCGUGUGUGAAGAAGGCCUUCGGGUUGUAAAGCACUUUUGUCCGGAAAGAAAUCGCGCUGGUUAAUACCUGGCGUGGAUGACGGUACCGGAAGAAUAAGCACCGGCUAACUACGUG
rnacentral:rRNA from 1 species